AAGUGGUUAUUGUCACUCACUUGUUACUAACAGGCAGCUUAAUUCACUUUCACACCACAUUUGGGUUUGGGUCUGUUUGGUUUGCUUUAGAAGACUGGAACUGAAGAUGUUUCUUUGUCUAUUUCUUUUGUCUUUUUCUUCCAUGUGUUUUCUGCCCAGCUCCUGUGUGACUGGCUUUGAGCCUCCAUACAGCGUGUCCAUCAGUAUUAAUAAUCACACUGGGCCGAUGAUUGAGGGUCGUCAGUACACUCUGCUGUGUGAAGUACAAAAUGUCGCUCCUGUUCAAAAUGUCAAUGUGACCUUCUACAGAGGAACAACACCACUGGGUCAACAACAGUCCAGCAGUAAUACACACAGUAAACCAGUGACUGAAAAAUACACUCUGACCAUCACCCCCAGUAAAGAAGAUGAUGGAGUCCAGUACUGGUGUGAAAGCUGAACUAGAACUGGGACCUGAAGGACCGCAGCCUCCUCCAGUGGUGAAAUCACAAAACAUCACCACCACUGUUCACUAUAAGCCUCAGAUAGCUGAUCUGUUAGUCACAGAGUUCGUCGUCACAGCGGGACACUCAGUACAACUCAACUGCUCAGCUCAGGGAAACCCCAGGCCCUCAUACACCUGGACCCUCCCAGCUCGCCUUUCUCCCUUCAAUGGCAGCGUUCUUAGCAUCAGCUCUGUGGAUUUUAUUAACGAAGGGCAGUACAACUGUUCUGUCAGCAACUCCAUUGGGACUACUACAGUGAUGUUUAACCUGAGAGUCCGAGGGAUGUACACGCUCCCGGUGAUAGUCUUUGCUGCAGGGCUUUCAGUGGUUAUCGUCACCACCAUCAUCCUCUUCUUCAUCUUCAAAUUUACUGGGGUGUAUUAAGACAAAAGACUGCAAUCACUUUCUGAACUGGUCAAAUGAUUUAAAGAUAUAAAAGUACUAUCUAUCUACAUACAUUAAAGUAUGUAUUUGAGGAACUCCCCUUGAGUCAUGAUCUCAGUAUUUGUUAAAUCCUGGUACUUUCUUAACCCACACAGAAUAAGUAAAAAAAAAAUAAUAAUAAUGCAGUGACUCAGUGCAAUGUCACAGCCGGGUUUGUUUCUGACUUCUCAUAACAUUUACAUACAUCAUAGUUGUGUUUUAUUCAGACAAUAUUUUCAUUACUCAUGUGGUUUAUUUGUACAACAGCAGGUAAAAUGAUUAAAAGCCACUUUCCCUUUCAAUGAGAGGAGAUCCUGGAAAAGGGAAAAGUCUGAAUCUGAUUCUUAAACAGGAAUUUGAUCUUUGUAAAACAAUAAACAAGAACCAAUGUUGCUUUUGUUAUAAAGAUGUCUACCACAGUGUAUUCAGACUACCUACCACUGGGGAGUGCUAAAGUCCUAUUAUAUAUAUAUAUAUGAAUAUCAUGAGACCAUGACAUUAUCUGUGUUGUUGUUUUGGUGUCUCUCUCUUAAGGAAUUUAACAAUCAUACUAUUUUGUGACAUAGUCCUGAUGCCUCAAAUCGCUUCAAAUAAAGCAGUGAGAAAAAUGUGGCUUAAGUGUGUAAGCUGCAACUAGCACAGAUCCCACGCUCCAGUUCUUGAGAAUUUCGUUGGUCUGUGUAACACAGCAGUAGGAAUAACAUCAUAGCACAUUAUUUAAUCAGAGAGGAAUGAUUGCUCUGUUGAGAGAUAAUAGAUAACAACACACCAAACAUAUCACAAAAUCUGUUCCAGACCUCCUUAAACACACUAAACCGAACCAGUCAAAACAGCAAGUUAAGCAGUUUUCUCCAAUUCUGAUCAACUAACACCAGCGAGCUGGGACAUAAGCUGACAGUCAGGAUGGCUUCUGUCUCAAUAUCCUCACAGCAGACACAGGAGUGACCUGUCUUUACUGGGACUUCCCUAGUUAUAUAUACAGAAGGAAGCCAAGAAGCUGCACAUGACACUCAUGGACUCAACCAGGCUUCAGAGGUAGAUUAUAAAUAGACACUGGUUAAGGUGUCUAUACACACUUUCAUUAAAGAAAGUCAGAAUACUGCGUAAUGUAACCCACUGCGUUCACAACUAAAAUGAGCUGUUGCUUCAUUUGAAGUUCAUCUUGGUUCCUUUCAGUUCUCACAUGGUUAAAUUUUGAAAUAUUUCCUGUAAAAAAAAACCUUCUAUGAAAUAAAAAUGUCACUUAAAGUGAAACCCCUCACUCUGAACUUUGACCAUUCUGCAUUUGAUAUUUCAUUUCUGUUUAGGCCUAACCAUUACAGCAAGUAGCACAGACUUUAACCUGAGGGCUGUUCUUAAAAUGUGACCUCUGGUUCAUUUCAUUCAGGCGUCUCACAUGAAUGUGGGAGAGUCUACACCUACAAGUACAUCCUGAUUUAGCUUCUUGUUUAUAGUAAGUGUCAAACUGCUAUAGCAUAUUGUCUACUGUUCCUGCUACAGUACAGUCAACAUGAGCAUGCAAGGGCAGGCAAAUCAGUGCCAUGAAAUAACAGACAUGAUGGUUAAUGAUGGACUUUAAUGUUGAUCUCAGUUGUUGUUAAGUAAGGCGACUCCCACUCUCAGUUACCACUAGCAGUUAUCACUCACAGUUAAUGUCUCACAGGCUCUUUUUUCUUGGAACAGUGGUGGAAUGCCGCGAUGAUCACAUAAAUAAUGACGUAAAUAAUGAUCAUGAUGAAGGUCUAAAUUUGGAUAUGGGGAAGUGUUAAUGCAAGAGCAGUCAUAAGGCCCUGAUGCAGUUUCAGUCCACUUCCCUCUCAAAGCGGGCACAGUUCGUCUCCCACUAAGUUGUCUUUUGUACUGUUUUGUCAAUGUAUUUCCUUUUUGAGAUUUGGAUUUUCAUACUGUGAAUGACCUUUACAUGAGAUUUGUUCUGUUCUACACGUCUACUCAUUGUUAAGUUGAA
ensembl:lncRNA